rnacentral:lncRNA from 1 species
AGAUCGUGAGCUGAGCCGGAGUCAGACGCUUAACCGACUGAGCCACCCAGGCGCCCUUUUUUUUUUUUUUUUUUAAUGUUUUUAUUUACCUUGAGAGACAGAGCGAGCAUGGAGGGCAGAGAAAGAGAGAGAAUCCCAAGCUGGCUCUGUGCUGUCAGCACAGAGCUGACGCGGGGCUCGAACCCACAGAACCGUGAGAUCAUGACCUGAGCUGAAACCAAGAGUCGGACGCUCAGCCGACGGAGCCCCCCCCAGGGCACCCCCGCCCUCGGCUGCACCGCCUCAAGGGGCUCAUGGCUUGUGCAGAGGACGAGGCAUAAGCUCUUGGGGCCCCCUCCCACCUGGCACUUGUCCUCACAUGGGUGACACGCAGCGAUUCGAGUCGAUUCAGAUUCCUCGGGGACUUGUAGCUGGUGCUCGUGGGCCCGCCGCCCUGCCACCCCUCUGGCGAGCCCCUUUCUGAGCCGGCCUGGCCUGGUCCCUCGGCCUACCCCCUGCAGCCUCGUUGGCCCCAGCGCCUCCAGCCUCUCCUUGGAAGCUACCGUCCCGGGGGUCCUGCCCACAGCUCCGCGGUGUCGAGGCCGGCACUGGGAUGGCCGCGUGGCCCCGCGCCGGUGGAGGUCGAGUCUGGGCCGCCCGGAUUCGCGGAGGGAAGGCCUCCGUCAUCAGGACAGCCGGUUGUAAUUCUCCGUCCUUUCCUGACAGAAGUUUCCGGGCGGGAAGAGGGGUUCUCAAAUCCGUUCUGUUCUUUGCCCCUUUAGGAAACGAGCAAGGGGGCCUUGGGGGUCCGUGGGAAGCUGGACCGCGUUUGUUGGGCUCUUGUUUUCCGGAAAGGCGUCCUCCAGCCCCAGGGGACGUUCGUCUCGGCCUUCGCCGUCCUCUGCGGAGCCCGCACCGACCUCCCGGACAGGCACGUGUGCUGCGUCUUCUGGCUGAACAUCGCGGCGGCCCUCAUCCAGACCCUCACGGCCAUCGUCAUGGUGGGCUGGAUCAUGAGCAUCUUCUGGGGCAUGGACAUGGUCAUCCUCGCCAGUGAGUAGCCCGCCAGCGCCCUGCUUUCUGGGGCGGGGGCCGGGAUUCGG